GGGCGUUUUAGCUCAGCUGGUUCAGAGCAUCUGCCUUACAAGCAGAGGGUCGGCGGUUCGAAUCCGUCAACGCCCACCG
rnacentral:tRNA from 1 species